GAUGAAGAAACGUAGCGAAAUGCGAUAAGUAAUGUGAAUUGCAGAAUUCAGUGAAUCAUCGAAUCUUUGAACGCACAUUGCGCCCGCCAGUAUUCUGGCGGGCAUGCCUGUUCGAGCGUCAUUACAACCCUCAGGCCCCCGGGCCUGGCGUUGGGGAUCGGCGGAGCCCCCCGUGGGCACACGCCGUCCCCCAAAUACAGUGGCGGUCCCGCCGCAGCUUCCAUCGCGUAGUAGCUAACACCUCGCGACUGGAGAGCGGCGCGGCCACGCCGUAAAACACCCAACUCUUCUGAAGUUGACCUCGAAUCAGGUAGGAAUACCCGCUGAACUUAAGCAUAUCAAUAAGCGGAGGA
rnacentral:misc_RNA from 1 species